rnacentral:rRNA from 1 species
AAUAUUCGACAAGGGGGGCAACCCUGAUCCAGCCAUUCCGCGUUUGUGAAGAAGGUAUNAGGCUUNUNAAGCACUUUAAGUUGGGNGGAAGGGCUUUUUGUUAGUACCCUUACGUUUUUACGUUACCAUCAGAAUAAGCACUUACUUACUCUUUUCCUCCAGCCGUGGUAAUACAGAGGGGCCAAGCGUUAAUCGGAAUUAUUUGGCGUAAAGAGCGCGUAGGUGGUUCAGUAAGAUGGGUGUGAAAUCCCCGGGCUUAACCUGGGAACUGCUUUCAUAACUGCAGAGCUAGAGUACGGUAGAGGGUAGUGGAAUUUCCUGUGUAGCGGUGAAAUGCGUAGAUAUAGGAAGGAACACCAGUGGCGAAGGCGACUACCUGGACUGAUACUGACACUGAGGUGCGAAAGCGUGGGGAGCAAAC